AUUAACGCUGGCGGCGUGCAUGAGACAUGCAAGUCGAACGGACGGGCGAGCUUGCUCGCCCGUUAGUGGCGGACGGCUGAGUAACGCGUGGGUGACCUGCCCCGAAGUGGGGAAUAACUGCCCGAAAGGGUGGCUAAUACCGCAUGUGGUGACUGGUUCGUUCCAGUCUCCAAAGCCGCAAGGCGCUUCGGGAGGGCCUGCGUCCGAUUAGCUCGUUGGUGGGGUAACGGC
rnacentral:rRNA from 1 species